GCCCAUAUGGCUCAGUGGCUAGAGCAUCUCACUCGUAAUCCAUUACGAGGCUAUGAGAAGAUCCCUUGUUCGACUCAAGGUGUGGGCU
rnacentral:tRNA from 1 species